UACGUAGGGUGCAAGCGUUAAUCGGAAUUACUGGGCGUAAAGCGUGCGCAGGCGGUUUUGCAAGACAGAUGUGAAAUCCCCGGGCUUAACCUGGGAACUGCAUUUGUGACUGCAAGGCUAGAGUGUGUCAGAGGGAGGUGGAAUUCCGCGUGUAGCAGUGAAAUGCGUAGAGAUGCGGAGGAACACCGAUGGCGAAGGCAGCCCCUUGGACCUGUACUGACGCUCAUGCACGAAAGCGUGGGGAGCAA
rnacentral:rRNA from 1 species